rnacentral:rRNA from 1 species
CAGUCGCCGCGGUAAUACGUAGGGUGCAAGCGUUAGUCGGAAUUACUGGGCGUAAAGAAUGCGCAGGCGGCUUGUUAAGACAGAUGUGAAAUCCCCGGGCUCAACCUGGGAACUGCAUUUGUGACUGGCAAGCUAGAGUAUGGCAGAGGGGGGUGGAAUUCCGCGUGUAGCAGUGAAAUGCGUAGAUAUGCGGAGGAACACCGAUGGCGAAGGCAGCCCCCUGGGCCAAUACUGACGCUCAUGCACGAAAGCGUGGGGAGCAAACAGGAUUAGAUACCCGCGUAGUCCCUGUCUCUUAUAC